UGACGUCACUGCAACACAACCGCAGGGCAUGGUGUUGCCGCUGCAGUGACAUCACAAGACAAUCGGAUGUCGUCACAACAGGAGGCAACAGCAUUGUGUGGUGACAGAGCCAUGUAGUACUGAAACGUUAUGGGAUAAAAGGGAAGCAUUUUCAUAAUCCAGUGAGUUCAAUGAACAUGGGGUCUUAUCCAGAGAAGACUGAAGGCUUUCCUUUGCCAGAAACUGAGCCAUCAUAUCUUCACAUUGGCACAAUCCCUCAUCACCUUCAAUUCUCAUUUUGGUUACACUCCUUGGGGUGUCAUAAUAAUUCCUUUUCAGAUGUGUACUUGCUGGAAGUAGCUUAAAUUGUGUUUCUGCUGGAGAAAGCUUCUUUCUAUUGUCUAUAAGCUAAAAAACCCUGUAUAUUUACGAUCUUGA